rnacentral:rRNA from 1 species
AUUGAACGCUAGCGGCAGGCCUAACACCUGCAAGUCGAACGAGUGGCGGACGGGUGAGUAAUGUCUGGGAAACUGCCCGAUGGAGGGGGAUAACUACUGGAAACGGUAGCUAAUACCGCAUACCAUCUGAUGUGCCCAGAUGGGAUUAGCUAGUAGGUGGGGUAACGGCUCACCUAGGCGACGAUCCCUAGCUGGUCUGAGAGGAGGACCAGCCACACUGGACAUGAUACACGGUCCAGCAUCCUACGGGAGGCAGCAGUGGGGUAUAUUGCGCAAUGGGCGCAAGCCUGAUGCAGCCAUGCCGAGUGUAUGAAGCAGGCCUUCGGGUUGUAAAGUACUUUCAGCGAGGAGGCGUUACUCGCAGAAGAAGCAACGGCUAACUCCGUGCCAGCCGCCGCGGUAAUAC